UAAACAAACGUCACUAGUUAAAUGAGCGGCAAAAUAACAAAUUGCAAAAAUUAAACAAGUGAUAAGAACAAAAUCAAAAAUAUUAAAUGCGCAAGCAUGACAUACAGUAGUUAUAAAAAAUAUUAAAUAAUACGACAUUAUAAACAAAUAAAAAUCAGAAAAAUCGAAAUAGUAAUAUUCAUAAAAAUGAUAAGUUUUUUGGCGGCUGGACAAAUGAAUGGAAUUUUUGUGAAAUUAACUAGUAAAAGAGAGCUGUGUAAACACAGUUAAUAUUUUAUUGCAAAGAGAAAGAUAUUACAGUGAUUUUGUUGCUAUAAAUAUGACGCGUUAUCAAAAAAUUAUAACAAAUUCAAAUAUUCAUGUGCGUAUUUAUGAAUCAUAAAAUAAAUAAAUUGUUUUAAAAGAUAUAUGUAGGUACACAAACAACAUGAAAACUAAAAAAGGCGUCUAAAUACGACAACGUUUGUUUUGUGAUGUUAAUCCUUUUGGAAAAUGUUCAUAUUAAAUUAUUCAAUACAUUUUAAAUAGUGUAUUAAUACCCUUUUGCAGCAAUAUUAUUAUUUUACACAAACAAAACAACAAUUGAAAUACAAAAUAUAUCAACAGGAUACCUGUAGAAACUGUAGCUCUGGUCUAAUUCACCCAAGAACACACAUUGAAAAAAUUAAAAUUUCCUAUAAGGAAAUACUAAAAAAUCAAUCAUAACAAGCCUAUACUUAUAUCCUAAAUUUAAGUUAAAAAAACUAAUAUCAUAAAUGUAUUUAUACCAUUUACUAUAAUUAAAAAAUCCAUUUAAAUUAAAAAUAAACUUAAAACUGUAUGUAUGUCGUUUAUAUUAUAUGGAUCCUGAGCGAAUGAUGUGAUAGAUUUUUCAAAUUAUGUUAAUUUAUAGUAUACAGUUCUUGAAAUACGAAAGUAUAUUAUAGUUUUAGAAUUCGGUUUAUAACUCUCAUUGCGACCUGAAAGUAUAUGGUCAUUUUUUUAAAUGUUUAAAUAUUCCUGGUAUUGUACAAGAAAAUCGAAGUUGACUAUAAAUGCUUAAAAAAGUUACAUUACGUAUACAUAGUUAGGCCGAAAAUAAGACGAUUUUGUUAGCUUUACCGUUCUUAUAGCUUUUUUUAAUUUUAUUUGUUAUUUUUAAUGGAAUGUUGUUGUGUUAUUUUUUCGGAUUUUUAAAUUAAACAUAAAUACAUAUGAAUACGAAUUGAUUUUUUUAAAUUAAAUUAAUUAGUGUGUAAUAAGCAACUGAUGGAAUGAUAAUGUAAAUAAAUAUCCACUCAUUUACUUCAAGAAUGGCAUAAAUCAAAAAAACAUAUAAAGUACAUUGGAAAGUAACGAGUUAAAAAGCUAAAAAAAAACGCUUUUCACUACUUAUUCAUUCGCAUUCUAACUCAUCAUACUUAUAACUACAUGAAUAAGUGCUUACAAAUAUGGAGUUAAAAAGUUUAGUUUUGAUGUUUACAAAAAAAAUAGACAAAACUCUAUGAAAGACUUUAAUAUGUUACAUAUUUUCUUAACCCUUUCACGCACAAAACUAAACCGCAGGACUUUUUAUGGAUAUGACUUCACCAUACAAUGGAAAAAGUGUUUUCGAUGGAUAUCUAAAAAAUAACUUAUUUUUCUUUGGAAAUGAGCAUUUACUCUAGCUGUGAAUCAAAAUUACGCUCAAAAUCGAGAAAAAAUUAAAAAAAUCUUGGGACACCGGUGUCCCGUAUACGUGAAAGAGUUAAAAAAAACCCGAAUUUUGGAUUAUGACAGUCUUGCUGUAAAUGUAAAAAAUAUUUUUUUUAUAAAAUUUUAUAUUUGAAUGAAAAUAUUAAAGAGUAAAUAUUGAUAUUAAAUGAGUUUUCUUAUGAUUCUGUUUAAUAUUUGAUGUUUUAAAUAAAAAAUUUAUUUAUGUACUAAUUAUGUAGUUGAUUUUAAUUAAAUAUUGAUUUCUAAUUAAACUUACCUUUUUGUUUAGUUGACCAUCAAUUUAA